AGAUAAUAAUAUAUUCUCUAUCCCCAUAUUAUUAUUACCACUCUCAUAAUGUAUUUUUUUGCUUUCAAGAACUCGGUGCUUCAAAUUAUGUUACUGUUUCUACGUAACUGAGAGGUGCAGAAGCUUCUGUUCUGAAAACUAGUGCUGUAAUCAUACCGUUAUUUUUUCACUGUACCUUUCUACUUAUAGUAAUGGAUGGUUUAGGGUUGCAUUGGAUAUGGAGAGAGUAG